rnacentral:rRNA from 1 species
CCUACGGGAGGCAGCAGUGAGGAAUAUUGGUCAAUGGGCGCGAGCCUGAACCAGCCAAGUCGCGUGAGGGAUGACGGCCCUACGGGUUGUAAACCUCUUUUGCCGGGGAGCAACGGGCGCCACGUGUGGCGCCACUGAGAGUACCCGGAGAAAAAGCAUCGGCUAACUCCGUGCCAGCAGCCGCGGUAAUACGGAGGUUGCGAGCUUUAUCCGGAUUUAUGGGGUUUAAAGGUAGGGUAGGCGGCAGAUUAAGUGAUGUGUGAAAGCCCGCGGCUCAACCGCGGAAUUGCACAUAAAACUGGUAAGCUGGAGUGGAGGAGAGGUAAGUGGAAUUGCCGGUGUAGCGGUGGAAUGCGUAGAUAUCGGGAGGAACACCAGAGGCGAAGGCGACUUACUGGACUGUAUCUGACGCUGAGGCUCGAAAGCGUGGGGAGCAAACAGGAUUAGAUACCCGAGUAGUC